GGUUAAGCGACUAAGCGUACACGGUGGAUGCCCUGGCAGUCAGAGGCGAUGAAGGACGUGCUAAUCUGCGAUAAGCGUCGGUAAGGUGAUAUGAACCGUUAUAACCGGCGAUUUCCGAAUGGGGAAACCCAGUGUGUUUCGACACACUAUCAUUAACUGAAUCCAUAGGUUAAUGAGGCGAACCGGGGGAACUGAAACAUCUAAGUACCCCGAGGAAAAGAAAUCAACCGAGAUUCCCCCAGUAGCGGCGAGCGAACGGGGAGCAGCCCAGAGCCUGAAUCAGUGUGUGUGUUAGUGGAAGCGUCUGGAAAGGCGCGCGAUACAGGGUGACAGCCCCGUACACAAAAAUGCACAUGCUGUGAGCUCGAUGAGUAGGGCGGGACACGUGGUAUCCUGUCUGAAUAUGGGGGGACCAUCCUCCAAGGCUAAAUACUCCUGACUGACCGAUAGUGAACCAGUACCGUGAGGGAAAGGCGAAAAGAACCCCGGCGAGGGGAGUGAAAAAGAACCUGAAACCGUGUACGUACAAGCAGUGGGAGCACGCUUAGGCGUGUGACUGCGUACCUUUUGUAUAAUGGGUCAGCGACUUAUAUUCUGUAGCAAGGUUAACCGAAUAGGGGAGCCGAAGGGAAACCGAGUCUUAACUGGGCGUUAAGUUGCAGGGUAUAGACCCGAAACCCGGUGAUCUAGCCAUGGGCAGGUUGAAGGUUGGGUAACACUAACUGGAGGACCGAACCGACUAAUGUUGAAAAAUUAGCGGAUGACUUGUGGCUGGGGGUGAAAGGCCAAUCAAACCGGGAGAUAGCUGGUUCUCCCCGAAAGCUAUUUAGGUAGCGCCUCGUGAAUUCAUCUCCGGGGGUAGAGCACUGUUUCGGCAAGGGGGUCAUCCCGACUUACCAACCCGAUGCAAACUACGAAUACCGGAGAAUGUUAUCACGGGAGACACACGGCGGGUGCUAACGUCCGUCGUGAAGAGGGAAACAACCCAGACCGCCAGCUAAGGUCCCAAAGUCAUGGUUAAGUGGGAAACGAUGUGGGAAGGCCCAGACAGCCAGGAUGUUGGCUUAGAAGCAGCCAUCAUUUAAAGAAAGCGUAAUAGCUCACUGGUCGAGUCGGCCUGCGCGGAA
rnacentral:rRNA from 1 species